rnacentral:rRNA from 1 species
AUUGAACGCUGGCGGCAGGCCUAACACAUGCAAGUCGAACGAAGUCUUCGGACUUAGUGGCGGACGGGUGAGUAACACGUGGGAACGUACCUUUUGGUUCGGAACAACUCAGGGAAACUUGAGCUAAUACCGGAUGAGCCCUUAGGGGGAAAGAUUUAUCGCCGAAAGAGCGGCCCGCGUUAGAUUAGCUAGUUGGUGAGGUAAAGGCUCACCAAGGCUACGAUCUAUAGCUGGUCUGAGAGGAUGAUCAGCCACACUGGGACUGAGACACGGCACAGACUCCUACGGGAGGCAGCUGUGGGGAAUCGUGCGCAAUGGGCGAAAGCCUCACGGAGCCAUGCCGCGUGAAUGAUGAAGGUCUUAGGAUUGUAAAAUUCUUUUACCAGGGACGAUAAUGACGGUACCUGGAGAAAAAGCCCCGGCUAACUUCGUGCCAGCCGCCGCCGUAA